rnacentral:rRNA from 1 species
GACGAACGCUGGCGGCGUGCUUAACACAUGCAAGUCGAACGGAAAGGCCCUGCUUUUGUGGGGUGCUCGAGUGGCGAACGGGUGAGUAACACGUGAGUAACCUGCCCUUGACUUUGGGAUAACUUCAGGAAACUGGGGCUAAUACCGGAUAGGAGCUCCUGCUGCAUGGUGGGGGUUGGAAAGUUUCGGCGGUUGGGGAUGGACUCGCGGCUUAUCAGCUUGUUGGUGGGGUAGUGGCUUACCAAGGCUUUGACGGGUAGCCGGCCUGAGAGGGUGACCGGCCACAUUGGGACUGAGAUACGGCCCAGACUGCUACGGGAGGCAGCAGUGGGGAAUAUUGCACAAUGGGCGGAAGCCUGAUGCAGCGACGCCGCGUGCGGGAUGACGGCCUUCGGGUUGUAAACCGCUUUCGCCUGUGACGAAGCGUGAGUGACGGUAAUGGGUAAAGAAGCACCGGCUAACUACGUG